rnacentral:rRNA from 1 species
CGCGUAGGUGGUUCGUUAAGUUGGAUGUGAAAUCCCCGGGCUCAACCUGGGAACUGCAUUCAAAACUGACGAGCUAGAGUAUGGUAGAGGGUGGUGGAAUUUCCUGUGUAGCGGUGAAAUGCGUAGAUAUAGGAAGGAACACCAGUGGCGAAGGCGACCACCUGGACUGAUACUGACGCUCAUGCAUGAAAGCGUGGGGAGCAAACAGGAUUAGAUACCCUAGUA